UUGCCUAUGCAUUGCAGUUGUGCUGCUUUAAAAAAGAAUGCAAAGUAGCUUCUGCUUUGAGCGCAUUUUGUGCACUCCACAGAGGAGCGUGUAAUUAAAACAUGAAAAACAUGUUUAGCAGCACUCUCAAAUGUCCGGAUUUGGGAGUCAGACAUGCUGUUGAUGCCAAAUGACAUGCAAUCGUAAAAAAAAAAAGAUAUGGUAGUGUUCUAGUGGCUGGGCGAACACUGAAGGAAAGCACAGAUGGGGGAAUUUAUUCCUCUGUAAUGUGGCCCAAAUCUAAUCCUCAUUUCUUCACAACUGCUCCUUUCCUCUCCUGUGUUUUUGUCUAUUGGUGCCUUUAUAUUUUAUUCCCCGAGGUUAUAUCUCUCCGCUUUCAACUGUGCCUCGUUUUUGUUUGUUUUCUUUGUUCCUAUAUUUUAAAGUCAAUUUUUCAUGUCUGCUUCUAUGUGUUGGUAUGUUUUCAUGUUUUGGUCCCUUUAUUUUCUUAUAUUUUCCUUCCUCUCGCUCUCUCUAUGUUACACUUUGAGUCAUAUACUAUGUUUGUUGCAUUUCUUUCUCUCGAAAAUUGUCAUCUUGCUCUAGUUAGUUUCAUUCUUCUUUUCAAGUUAUUUAACAUGUUUGCUUUUGUUUGACAACAAUCGCUCCCGCUGUACACGACAGUUGCGCUUGGCCGAUACCAAUGGUAUAUACUCACCUGUGGAGUUUUGCGCAAUGCAGUAAUGCUUAGAAAGCUUCACUGUGAAGGUGAUAAAGACAUCAUGUGCUGGUUCAUGAAAUAGACUUUUUGCAAGUGAACUUCAAUUUCCGACAGUAUAAACAGCCUCUUUGUUACAAUAGCUUGGCAGACAUGCUUACCUUCAAGAAACAGUGUACAUAACUCUUUGCGCAACUAAUCAUUGCGUCAGCUGUGAUGUCGUGCACAUGUAGGUGGACGGUCUAAAACACUAGGUGGGUAGCAUUUCUGGAACCCUCGGCUGCAGGUUCCCUCAAUCAUGUCGUGGUUUUGCAAUGUUUAAGCCCCUACCAAUAGUUAAGUUUAGAUGGCAUGCGAUUCAUUUUGUUGCCCAAUAUUCAGAUUUCUAGGGUGCUGCAGCCAAAAUGAUCUGGGCAAAGAAAAUAAAGACCGCUCACAAUUGUGCUGAAAUAAAGUAGAAAAUUUAUCAGCGAUACAGUAUGCACAAUACAUUCUUACAGCAAGGGUUUUGUUUUCAGGUGUCCUUGUUGAGAAACGAUUUAAGAACCUGCGUGAUAUCUUCAAAAAGAAACAACACGACAUACGUGAAAAAACAAAGAAGUGGAGCCGGAGCAGCCGACAUUCCAACAAUAAAAUGGCCCCAUUUUGAGGCCAUGCUUGAAUUAAUGGAAGGAGAGUCUGAGCCUGUGGCAUCACCGCCUCGGCCAAGACAUGCAGCGGAACCGGAACGUACCCCUGAUACGGCUGAGGAGACUCGUGUCGACACCUGCAGCAAUGAGUAAAACCUUUAUGAAUCCACCUAAGUAAUGACAAAUGAAGGGCAUGCAUAGAUAGCCAAUCUAUUAAAUCUUAAAAACAUGCAUGUUCUAGCACAUUUGAAGAAUGUGCCUAAUGUUUUUUUUU
rnacentral:misc_RNA from 1 species